CCUACGGGGGGCUGCAGUGGGGAAUAUUGGACAAUGGGGGGAACCCUGAUCCAGCCAUGCCGCGUGUGCGAAGAAGGCCCUCGGGUUGUAAAGCACUUUCAGUGAGGAAGAACGCCUGGUGGUUAAUACCCAUCAGGAAAGACAUCACUCACAGAAGAAGCACCGGCUAACUCCGUGCCAGCAGCCGCGGUAAUACGGAGGGUGCGAGCGUUAAUCGGAAUUACUGGGCGUAAAGCGCGCGUAGGUGGCUUGAUAAGCCGGUUGUGAAAGCCCCGGGCUCAACCUGGGAACGGCAUCCGGAACUGUCAAGCUAGAGUGCAGGAGAGGAAGGUAGAAUUCCCGGUGUAGCGGUGAAAUGCGUAGAGAUCGGGAGGAAUACCAGUGGCGAAGGCGGCCUUCUGGACUGACACUGACACUGAGGUGCGAAAGCGUGGGUAGCAAACAGGAUUAGAUACCCGGGUAGUC
rnacentral:rRNA from 1 species